rnacentral:lncRNA from 1 species
AGUGAUGCCCACAUGCACCCGAAGUUGACUAUAAAUAAAUAAAAGCACGUGCUGGACGGUGGCAACGGCGACGUCUAUUAUUAGAGGCAAUUAAUGAGACACGGUUUCUGUUCGGAAGUAAUCCGUGUUAAAGCGCAUUUUACGCGCUUAGAGUUUAUAUACUCUUGUCGUGCCACGUAUAUACACCAACUUCGAUAUGGUAACGCGCUCCAAAGAAUCAUAUCUCUAUACCGCAAAAACAUUACAACUUCCUCAUCUCAACAAUUUACACUGCAUAUGCACAAGGUCUAUACGAUGACAUACGAGCAUAUAGACGGUCGAGUAGAGUAAAGGACAAGAACUAUUAGCAUCGACGCGUGCUGAAGUAAUGGCUUGAACCGCAGCAGAGUCCAUAUGUUCGUAUUAUACGUUGUAUACUAUACACGUAAUAAUCUUUGAAGAGGAUUUUCUGGUCGUGGACUUUUGACUUUGAGGAAAAAUGGGGAAGAGUUACUGGAUGCUGUCGCUCCCGUUACCGCCUAAGAUCGUGUACAGUUGUUUCGGUUUGUUUGACACCGCUAACACACGGGACCUCCCAUAAGCAAUAAAUAUAGGAUCUAAUUCGGCUCAGGAUACAUCGAACAAGGGUACAUCUAGUACCGAUUGGAUCAGGGAUUAUAAAUCUUUGAAAACCACCGAGACGACGACGACGACGACGACGAAAAACCAGUAUCUUUGAUGUGCCUAUAUGUAUAGCCGCAGCAAUAAAUAUUUAUGGUGCUUAUACUAAGUACAUAAAACCGCAGGUAAACCUAGACUGUGGAGCUCCGGUAGCGGGCGUCCGUAGUAAAUUUGUCAAAUAAUUUUCACUCGAGAUACGAGGACC